UGGACAGAUUAUUGCAUUAGACUGUAUUCACGACGUGAAACAUGGGAUUACACUAUUUUUAAACGGAAAGUGAAUCAAUUAACAUAAUAGACUCCU
rnacentral:pre_miRNA from 1 species